GGAGAAGUACUCAAGAGGCCGAAGAGGACGGUUUGCUAAAUCGUUAGGUCGCGAAAGCGGCGCGUGGGUUCGAAUCCCAUCUUCUCCU
rnacentral:tRNA from 1 species